ensembl:lncRNA
GUGAGCCGAGUCUGGGCCUAGAGUCUUGGGGUGGGGUGCCUUUCGGUUCCCGCACGGGGCUUCGGCCUUGCAGCGUUGUUGUUCUGACGGUCUGGUCUCGGUUCGUGGCGUUUGUACCCAGCUUUCCCUGACAGGCGGGCAGCGCCGGCCGUUUCCCACUAUUUAUUGUCGUGCCGCUCGAAUCGAGAAGGGACUUCAGCGCUGAAGUCCUCACCUCUCUCCGCCUCACCCCGCAGAGCUUUAUUCUGAGACUGCCGAGGAGUCGCCAGAGAGUUCUGGAAAGAGGGCUUGUCCUGGGGCAUUGCACUAGCGCCCCGAAAGCAAAUACUCCGGGGAAAAGAAACUCUUGUUUCUUGAAGUUUUCGCUAACGUACUUAAAAUUAUUUUCCCGACUCUUUUUGGUUUCUGGAGUCGCAGAGAAAAGACUGUCUUAAAAUGUUAAAGUUCGGGGCUGCUCUCAUUUCAUCUCGGAGGGCGGAGGGUUGGCUGCUGGAACGCCUGGUGGUACUUGAAUUCACAGCACACACAUGGACGUUUUCGGGUUGUUUGUUUGCUUCCAAAGCAGUGCAGAAUAAAGCUGAGAGGCGCCGACCGGUUGACCAUUGCAGCCGACUGGUCUACGCUCCGGAUUCGCAUUGGAUUCAUCCAGACCGCCAAGAGAUGAAUUCAGGGUGUGCUCUCUUAAGUCUGCCAACUGAGAGCUCCGGGAUUGCCAUCGCCCCUCUUCGCACUGAGCCAUUGUGCUACCCUGCGCCGCAGUAACCACUGCUUUUUAGUUUUGUUUUCUCGCAUUAGGGGAGCAUCUCUGUGCAUUUGUGGAAGUAUUCUGCUUUAGGCCAAACCUAUACACACAGUAUCACUUUAAACAGUUUUAUGCUGUCAUCUUGUGCAAAGGUCCUCUCCCACCCGUACACAAAGACACUGGGGUGGGGGUGGGGAGGCCCCAUCCCUUAUUCAUAACUAGCUUGCUCAGUCCGUGGGCAUUUGAAUGGGGUGAUGCGAGACCUCCGUUUGAUCUCUCAAAGACCGUUAGGCAGAACGCAGAUCAUAUGCGGUGACUUUGGGGGCGCUAGCGUGGCCCCUCCAUCCGCUCCCUGAAAGUUUAGACCCAGUGCUUAAACACAAACUCCAAAAGAGCACUUGCCGGCUUUUCAGGACAGAGACUUUAUUUUUUAUUACAACGUGGAGGUGUAGAAAGGUAAACUCUGCGCCACAGAGGGAGGACUAUUUUCCCCUUUGAAAUAGCUUGCAAAACGGGUCGUCGUCCUUGGACCAGCAGGUUUUCAAAAGCAUGUUCUUCUGCAGCGGCAAAAGGGGAAAAACAACAACAACAACAACAACGUUGCAAAAAGAACUCAAGAAAGCCCCCAUUUCUCGAACCAGUUCCAAUGCCCUACCUCCAACUCCUUCAGCCAGUGGCCGCAGGGCCUGGCUCCCCCCAACUUAAAAGCUCUUCUCGCGCCGGGACCCUAGUGCACCCGCAGCGCUCAGAUAGGUUCCGGAUAUCCCCGAGCCGUGUUUCUGUGGCCAAGUGUGGGAAUGAAAGCCGCCUCGGGCCCGGUGCCGCCAAAUCGGGCCUGGAGGGAGGGGGGAAAAGAGUUGAAGGGGAACUGCCACCCGCCUCGCCCAGAGGCACCCUCACGCUCAUCCGCGCAGGUCCUCCCUUCCCCGCCCCGCGGGCGCUGCCGCGUCCCGAGUGCUGCAGUCCCUCC